rnacentral:lncRNA from 1 species
GUGAGGUGGCGGCGGGGGCGGCCGGAGCCGAGUCUAGCGGAGCGGGUACUUCUGCGGGUCUCAGAAAGAAGAAACAAUGUAAUUCCGUCACUGGGAAGACUGAUGUCAAGGUGAAGAGGGAGGUGGGAAGAGCAUGGCCUGGCCACGAUUUUUGCAAAGAGGAACUCUCCUCACCAGCUUCAGCCAUCACCAUGUUGCUGUGUUCCUGCUUACAUUCUUCAGCUAUUCACUGCUCCAUGCAUCAAGGAAAACAUUUAGCAACGUCAAAGUCAGCAUUUCUAAGCAGUGGACCCCAGAUGCUUUUAACACAUCGAUUGACCUGCCUGCAGAGAUCUGGAGCAGCAACCAUCUGUUUCCCAGCACGGAGGACGCCACUCUUUUUCUUGGAACACU